AACCCAUGGUGAGGGCAUCGUUUCAAUAAGUCCUUAUACCUCUCCCAUGCAUCAUAUAGAGUCUCUAAAUCGAUCUUAACAAAAGAAGAGAUAUCAUUCCUUAACUU
rfam:Gossypium raimondii Chr10_contig_287, whole genome shotgun sequence.